UACGUAGGGUCCAAGCGUUAUCCGGAAUCACUGGGCGUAAAGCGUGCGUAGGUGGUUCGUUAAGUGAGAUGUUAAAACGUGUGGCUCAACCAUAUCGUUGUAUCUCAUACUGGCGAACUAGAGGAUGGCAGAGGCAAGUGGAAUUUCUCGUGUAGCAGUGAAAUGCGUAGAUAUGAGAAGGAACACCAAUGGCGAAGGCAGCUUGCUGGGCCACCCCUGACACUGAGGUACGAAAGCGUGGGAGCGAACAGG
rnacentral:rRNA from 1 species